UACGUAGGGUGCAAGCGUUAAUCGGAAUUACUGGGCGUAAAGCGUGCGCAGGCGGUGAUGUAAGACAGAUGUGAAAUCCCCGGGCUCGACCUGGGAACUGCAUUUGUGACUGCAUGGCUAGAGUACGGUAGAGGGGGAUGGAAUUCCGCGUGUAGCAGUGAAAUGCGUAGAUAUGCGGAGGAACACCGAUGGCGAAGGCAAUCCCCUGGACCUGUACUGACGCUCAUGCACGAAAGCGUGGGGAGCAAACAGG
rnacentral:rRNA from 1 species